rnacentral:rRNA from 1 species
AGAGUUUGAUCCUGGCUCAGGACGAACGCUGGCGGCGUGCUUAACACAUGCAAGUCGAACGAAAAGAGGGAAAGAGCUUGCUCUUUCCGGAAUUGAGUGGCAAACGGGUGAGUAACACGUAAACAACCUGCCUUCAGGAUGGGGACAACAGACGGAAACGACUGCUAAUACCGAAUAAGUUCCAAGAGCCGCAUGGCCCAUGGAAGAAAAGGUGGCCUCUACCUGUAAGCUAUCGCCUGAAGAGGGGUUUGCGUCUGAUUAGCUGGUUGGAGGGGGUAACGGCCCACCAGGGCGACGAUCAGUAGCCGGUCUGAGAGGAUGAACGGCCACACUGGAACUGAGACACGGUCCAGACUCCUACGGGAGGCAGCAGUGGGGAAUCUUCCGCAAUGGGCGAAAGCCUGACGGAGCAACGCCGCGUGAGUGAUGACGGCCUUCGGGUUGUAAAACUCUGUGAUCCGGGACGAAAAGGCAGAGUGCGAAGAACAAACUGCAUUGACGGUACCGGAAAAGCAAGCCACGGCUAACUACGUGCCAGCAGCCGCGGUAAUACGUAGGUGGCAAGCGUUGUCCGGAAUUAUUGGGCGUAAAGCGCGCGCAGGCGGCUUCCCAAGUCCCUCUUAAAAGUGCGGGGCUUAACCCCCGUGAUGGGAAGGAAACUGGGAAGCUGGAGUAUCGGAGAGGAAAGUGGAAUUCCUAGUGUAGCGGUGAAAUGCGUAGAGAUUAGGAAGAACACCGGUGGCGAAGGCGACUUUCUGGACGAAAACUGACGCUGAGGCGCGAAAGCGUGGGGAGCAAACAGGAUUAGAUACCCUGGUAGUCCACGCCGUAAACGA